GGGGGCUGCACCGAAGUCUCCACUUGGCACGGUCGCUCGGACUAGGGCAGCUCCAGCUGGGACCCCGACCCGGAACCCCUGCGCCUCGUAGGCGGCGGCGCCGCCGCGCCACCCAGCUCUUCCGCGGUCUUCCUCUACCAGGCGGCAGUCACGGCCAAGAAAGUAUUAUGAGGGAGGCCAAGGACUCCGGGCUCCAGGCAGAGAAGCGGCGCUGGGACUAGGGAUUGCCACUUCUGAGAGGAUGCUGGGAAUCUGCAGGGGGAGACGGAAAUUCCUGGCUGCCUCGUUGACCCUGCUCUGCAUCCCAGCCAUCACCUGGCUUUACCUGUUUGCCGGGAGCUUGGAAGGUAAGAAGGAUGCUCUCCCUCGGGGAGAGAGAUGGAGGGAAGCAGGAAUGCUGGCUGUCUCAGAAUCCUAGGAAGAACCUCCGGGUCUUCUAAUCCUGACUUCUCAUUUUGUAGAAAAAUGGAAUCCUGUUGCUCAGUCACAGGAAAAGAUUUGUCUAGGUUUAUAAAGGUAUUUGGAGGGAGUGUGUAAUGAGGAGAGAAAAAGAAAUAACAGGAGCGCCUGUGGCUCAGCGGGUUAAGAACCUGAGUAGUAUCCGUGAGAAUGCAGGUUCCAUCCCUGGCCCUGCUCAGUGAGUUAAGAAUCCAGUGUUGCAGUGGGCUGUGGUGUAGGUCGCAGACUCGGCUCGGAUCCCAGGUUGCUGUGGCUGUGGUGAAGUCCAGCAGCUGCAGCUCCAGUUUGAUCCCUAGCCUGGGAACUUCCAUAUGUCUCAGGUGCAGCCCUAAAAAGAAAAAAAAGAAAAGAGAAAAGAUAAAUACAAAAGCAAAAAGGAAAGUGCCCUCUGGAUGCAGUGCCAUGGUGGAGGUGAUGCAGAUACCAGCUUUGCAGGCUGAUGGCCCUGUCUGAAGUAUUUGAUGCAUAUUUCCUGAGGUUUUUUUUUUCCCCCUACAAACGUGAACCCCUGUCCCGCCCCCACCAAGGAAGAUGUUUACUACUAGGUAGCCAUUCACACACAACCCUGAGUCCUCCUGAAACCUGAGGAUGGCUAAUGUUAACCCCGUGACCCCACCCUGUUACCUCACCAUCACCCAGAGAAUUGGGUACCAUCUGAUCACAUACCCUGGGACCCCUGCUCCUUAUCUGGCUUUUAAAUAUGUUUUGCCGGGAGUUCACAGUGUGGCUCAGCAGUAAGAAAUCCAGCUAAUAUCCAUUGGGUUCAAUCCCUGGCUUCGCUCAGUGGGUGAAGCAUCUGGUGUUGCCAUGAGCUGUGGUGUAGGCCGGCAGCUGCAGCUCCAAUUUGACCCCUAGCCUGGGAACAUCCAUAUGCUGCGUGUGUGGCCCUAAAAAUCAAAGUUCUUGCUGUGGCACCGUGGGUUAAAAAUCUGGCAUUGCUGCAACUGCGGCAUAGGGCAUAGGUCACAGCUGUGGUGCAGAUUCAGUCCUGGCUUGGGAACGUCCAUAUGCCAAGGCCAAAAAUAAAAAAUAAAAAGGUUUUGCUGAAAACUCUUCAAGGAGUUUGGGGUUUGGGAGGGCACUCGUCCCCCUGCCUGGCCCUGCAAUAAACCUCUCUCUGCUCCAAACCACAGUGUUUCAGAGUUCCCAUUGUGGCACAGAGGAAACAAAUCCGACCAGGAACCAUGAGGUUGCAGGUUCGAUCCCUGGCCUCGCUCAGUGAGUUGAGGAUCCAUCAUUGCUGCAUCAGCUGUGGUGCAGGUGGCAGAUGCAGCUCAGAUCUGGUGUUGCUGUGGCUGUGGUGUAGGCCGGCAGCUGUAGCUCCGAUUAGACCCCUAGCCUGGGAACCUCCAUAUGCGGUGGGUGAAGCCCUGAAAAGACAAAAAAAAAAAAGAGACCAAAACAAAAAACAAACUGCAGUGUUUUGGUUUGUUUGGCCUUACUACGCCUCGGGUACAUGAAAUUGCACCAAGUGGAUACUGGGGAAAAGGUUGGGUCCUGGGGGGUUACUUAGCCACUCAUGGACCUGGAUGUUUCAUUCAUUCUUUCAUCGAUUCAGUCCUGUAUUUGCACAUUCAACGUUUUGCUGCUCCUGUUGUUACUGCUGCCUGUCGUUUGCCACCUGUGCUAAACCAGGUGCUGGGACUCUGGUGAGAAGAGGUCUGGACCUUUCGAGCGCCCCAGAGGGGACGGUUAACAGGUGGUUACUUGCCUUGCUGUCCACGAUACACAAUACUCCUUCAAAUGAGGCAGGCCCAGGGCGCUGGUGGUCAGAGGUACCAUGUGGGCUUGGGACAGACGAUGAGCCGGGAUGCUGAUGGGCUGAAGGCAGCAAAGGCGUCGCCCUCCCCGAACAAAGAGCAAAUGCUCCUUCCUGCUGCUUCCCGGAAAUCCAGAGAAAAGACGAGACUCAUCGUGCUUCCAGCCAGCAGUUUCAGAUGCAGGGCAACACUCUGCUUAGCCAAGAUGGUUUUCGAAGCUGCGGGGAGGGGAGGAACGGCAGUGGUGACGAGAACGCUUAUCUUUUUAUUUACACCCCCGCCCCCGCUUGAGUUAAAAUAUAUAUGUACAUCUAUCUCAAGUGGAAAUCUGUCUCCAGAACGUCACUACUGUGUUUUUAAACAUUUCCUUUAUGCAUAAUUUUAUGGACAGCUCAAGGCCACCUUUUAAUUAGGAGUUCCACUUCAUGUUCUGAGGUUUGCCCUGAGUUGGCCACGCAGAAUAUAAAUGAGGUAGAGCUGUGUGCCUGCAAAGCAGGGGAGAGCCCAGCGCCUCGCCCCUGUCCUUUUCCUGCCUGAGACGUCCCUGGAGUACCAGAGCUUUCAUCUCAGCAGCUAGGUAGAGAAGGUUAUGCCCUGGCGGUGGGUGUCCACGUCGUGGCAAAGAGAUCAGAGGGCGGAAGGGGAGUUGGUGUGGGCACUAGAAGAGGUAGGAGGAAGCGUUCUCCUGGGGGUGAUGAAAAAGCCCUAGUGAAAGAAGGCCAAGAGCAUUGGUGCUGGUACAGGUUUAAUACAUGAAAACCUUGACCUUGAGAGCAUUAAUAGACUGGUAAUAAUAAUAACAAGAGCAUGACAACAGUGAUGAGGAGGGUGGCCAUAUAGCGACUAAUAAGCUGCGUGUUUUACACACCUGGUCUUGUGGUAGGGAUUUCUGUGUGUCAGCGCUUCCUCUACAAGGAUUGAUCCUGUGUGGUGGGGACAGAGGAGGGCAAGGAAGAUAGGCUUCAAGGAUGUGCCCAAGGACCCAAAGCCAGUCAGGAUGGGGCCUGGAUUAUUAGACUUGAGAGCUGGAGAUUUUAACUGGAAUACCACGUUAUGGAAUGGGCUUCAGCAAGGUAGCAGACUUUGGCUGGGGGAGGGGGUGGGAUUGACAAGGUGUCACAUGACCUUUCUGGGUACUGAUGAGGGAAGUUGCAUAAUUUUGAUUUCUGCUCAUUAGAGAAACCAAAGCCCAAAUGAUUUUGUCCAAAAGGGAAUUUGGGGACCAAACCAAUGAGUUCGAAAGUAAUCUGGCUUCAGGAGGGGUUGGAUCCAGGGGAUCCAAUGAUAGUUUUGUAGCCCUGUAUUUUCUCCACUUCCAUUUGCUCUGGUUUCUUUCAGGGCAGUUGUUCCUACAUAGUGAGAGCUUUGGCUUACAACUUACUCUCACCAGUCCCCUGCAGAAAGAGAAGGACUUCCUCCCCCUGAUUCUCCAGCACUGCCUCUGAUUGGGUUGCCUCUGGUCGUGCAUGGUCUGGAGACCAAUCACUGUGGUUGGGGAAGGGCAGCCCUGAGCCCCGUGCCUGUUUCUGGUCACAGGGUAGACAAGAGUCCCUGAGGCGUGUGGAGUGAGACCAGGGUGGCGGGGUGGGGGGGUGGUGGUGGUGGGGGGAUGGCCCUCAAAGGUAAAUGGUGCAAUUCUCCAAAGAGGAAACAGACGUUGAUCUGGGUUACAGAGAAUUCACACCUGGCUGUGAUGAUGGGCUGAUAUUAGCUUGACAGUAGCUUUCCAGCUACCUCUGGUCCAGCUGCCUCUCUGGUCCAGCCCUGGCCAGUGGAGGGUCUGUGCUCCCAGGCUUUGAAUGAUUUUAUUAUGCUGACAGAUAGAUUGCAUUAAACAGGAGGUGAGUGAUGUGGGUUCACGAACAGAAGCAUUGAUAAAGGUGACGGAUUUCUUUUACUGGGUUGGGUAUCAGUCUGUAGCUGGACACUGCAUUUAUUUUAGAUGCUAGACUUGGAAGAACAAUCUAGGCAGGUGGGCACCUUGAGAUGAGUCUAGCUGAAUGACGGUGCCAAACCAAAUCUUGUUUCCUGUGAAAUAACACAAAGAAUGGGGCGGUUUACCUUGGAGAAGCAGGGGCUCCAUGUGUACGUGAUCAAGUUCAAGAAACUGUCAGAGGGCCACCUCCUGAAAGAGAUCAGGACUACUGUGAUGGCUCCUGAAUCUCCGGAGGACGUGGCAGGGAGCCCGAUGUCAAGCUUGUCCUAAUAAGGGUCAUUCUGUCCAGUGCCCGGAUGAGCUUCCCUGGGAGGGAGGGCGAUGCUCAGCAGGAGAGAUGUGCAAACACAAGUGCAGUUUGACAGGAGGGGGAUGAGCGUCAGGGGCAAUUGCACCUGCCUGACCCAUCCUGACCCCGAGAUCCCAAGACUCUAGAAAAGGCUGCAUUUAUCCAAAGACAAAGAGCACUUCCUGCCAGUCGCCUCGAGCAUCAGCGCGCUUCCAAAACGAUCUACAGAGACGUUCUUUUCUCUCUAGUUAAACAUAACAACUUUGCCAUCCAUUUAUUGAUGCCCUCGUGUUUUCCGUUUCAAGGCAGGUGGAGCCAUAAAUAAGGGAGAAAAUUGCUGCCUAGAUUCAUGGUAACAUUGUUCAGACUUUAUGUGGGUUUAUUUACUUUUCGACCCUGUUUAAUUUCAGUGGAUGAUGUCCUGAGAUUGAAGCUUAGAACUCUCCCUGAGAUGUGGAUGCUCUUAGCAUGAGGUUUUGGAGUCAGAUUACACACAGCAGUACCAUCUACUGAGAGAGGAUGGGAUGGGGGUCAAGGUCCUGGACUUAUAAAGUGAGCCCAGGAGUUCCCUUUGUGGCUCAGUGGUUACAAACCCGACUAGUAUCCAUGAGGACGAGGGUUCGAUCCCUAGCCCCACUCAGUGGGUUGGGGAUCCAGUGUUGCCGGGAGCUGUGGUGUAGGUCACAGACGAGGUUCAGAUCCCACAUUGCUGUGGCUGUGGUGUAGGCUGGCAGCUGUAGCUCCAAUUUAACCCCUAGCCUGGGAACUUCUGUAUGCCACACGUGUGGCCCUAAGAAGCUAAAAAAAAAAAGAAAAAAAA
rnacentral:lncRNA from 1 species